rnacentral:lncRNA from 1 species
UGAUUUAGUUGUCUGUGGUGGGUGGGGAUAAUUUUUGUGCAGUCUUUUUUAGUGACCAAACUUUAAUUUUGAAGAAGAAUAUAUUGACUUACUAAGGGGAAGUAUUCUCAUUUUGAGUGACAUUCAGAGGUUCACGUUUGCUUCUCUGCCGAGCAAAGGGAACGUCCUCAGAUUUCCGUCCAUUUCAUUUCUUCAUUAGAGUAAACAGUGGGACUUGGGAGGAUUAGUCUGGUGUCUAUUCUGGGCUAGAGAGAUCAUUUGACGAAAAAAAACUUACACUAUUUGAUGUACAGAAUAGAAAACAUUUAAAUAUUGAAUUAGGCACUCAAAACCAACAAAGAGAAUGAGCAAUCAUCUUAAAGAUGGAACCUCUUAAAGGACAACUUUGAUUUCCUUCUUCGUGUGAAGAUGCUGGAUAGUACCCAAAUCACUUAAAACCUGUUUCCAUUCGCUUUUUACUUAAAAAUAAACAUUUGCGAGAAGUUACCAAGGCAGCUCUUGUCCUCAGAAGGAACCUGCUCCUCUUGAGUGGCACCUGGGAUUUUCUCCUCCCAGUAAAUCUCAGUGAUGAUGUCAUGGUGAUUGAGUAGGAUGAGGCCUGUAUUACCGAAGUCUGGGAGCAUAAUUGAACUUGGUCUUCUGUGUUCUAGAGAACAGCACUGCUCUGACAAGUGAAUUCUUGAUAAAUGGCUAAUGCUUUUCUCUCACACUGCUAAUCUUUGGAUGGAAACCAUUCUUUAUAUUGAUGGACAGUUUUCAGAAAACUAUCAACAGGUGUACAAGAGUCAUGUUCAUUUAGAAUAGAGCAGUGUAAAUGCUAGGCCUCAGAAAUCUGAAAAAAGAUAGCAAAGAAAGUGGGUUUGGAACGUAUGGUUUGGAAUUGCUUGUCAGACUCUGAAGAAGAUGUGUUUCAGCUUGGGAUUACAAACCCCAUUUAUAAUUUUUAAAUAUACUUGAAAUAAAAUGAUUAAAAUGAAUUUUGGUCCAGUCACAUUACUUUGCACUUCUUCUUCUUUUUUUUCUUUUUGUACAAAAUUUUAAAGACUUAAUUUAUUGCCAAAAUUCUGUGUAAAGUGACAGUGUAUCUAACAGUUGUUAGAGAACUCCCCAUUUCUGUUCCCCUGUGCUGUGUAUGGUCUGUGUUCCUCUGGUUUGAUUCCCUCUGGCGGUGGGGGAGGGGCGGAGUUGUGUGUAAUUUAAGACAAUUUAAGGUCUUUUCUAAACACGAUAGUUAUAAAUGUCCUUUUUAGAUCUUCUGGGGUAUGCACAGCUUUAAUGAAUUAAAUUUACUGGAAUCAAUUGAAAUAAGAGGACUCAAGGUUUGUUCUAAUGAAGUUUGUCAAAUUACUCUUUGGAAUUGAGCCAAAAUCCUAGAGUUGAGUUUUUAUUCUUCCUUCCUUCCAUACAACAAAACAAGUCCAUAGCCUAUGACCCAAGACUGUUUGUGGCCUUAGGAACAAUUGCUUAAGCAGGUCAAGCAUUUUGAAUUUCAAUGUAGGCCUUCAGGAUCUUCUCACAUGAGGUCAACUGCUAAUGCAAUCUCUACACUUCAAAAAGCACUGAUCGUUCUCCAGUUCUUGCCAAGAUCAUCCCAAGUUGGAUAUCAUCAAAACUAUCUUUGUGCUCCCAAAACUUGGUGUUCAUGUGUAUCCCUUUAAGUUGUUUCUCCUUGACACGCUCCACAAUGGCAAAGAUACCAAGUCAUACCUACUCAACAGAUGGCAUGGGACAUAUGAAGAAAUGGAGACAUUAACUUCGUUCUAAAGCCUGAUUGUAGAUUGCUCCUUAAAACUGAACAGUUAGUGUUUGAAGUUGAAAUGCUGAAUAUAAUGUGAAUAGCAAAAUCUGGUAUGUUGUGACUAAGGCUUAAGAGUGCCUGUUUCUGACAAUAAAAUGUUCCAAUAUUAAUGAACAGUGCCAAAUACACUGUGCAUAUCUAUAAUUUUCCAUUUGAAUGUAUGUUAAUUACUCCCUUCUAUGUGAUGGUCCCAUGCUUAGAGUCAGUGAAGUUCUUGUGAUGUUUGUUAUGCUUGUAGAUUUUGGCAACUUGUAAAUAAUGUGUAUACCAAGUUUUUAUGAUUAAGGAAUCAAAUUUAUUGAAUUUUAUUAUUGAAAGUUGAAAUAAGAUGUAUGAACAAAAAAAAAUCAAUAAAAGAAUAUACUCUUUUCAUGGACUGUAGUAGUAUGUGAAUGUUACAUUUAGUUUGAACAGUUCUGAAGUAUAAGGAGAAAUGUAUGACCAGAUAGCAAUCCUGCUUUUAGAUAGUAUGCUCUUGAUUGGAACAAAUUUUCAUUUUUUUAAAAAUCUGCUAAACAUUUGCAAUCUUACAUUUGUAUUUUAAUACCAGAGUGAGGUUUAGCUUUGUCUUUCUGGGAUUCUCAGGUUCCACAGUAAUUACAAGCUGACUUUUUACUGAACAUAGGAAUGUUAAAAACAAAUGUGUAGGUGGCUGGAGAAAUGGCUUAGUGGUUAAGAGCUCGGUCCUGAGUUCAAUUCCCAGCAACCACAUGGUGGCUCAUAGCCAUCUGUAAUGGGAUUUGGUGCCCUCUUCUGGUGUGUCUGAAAACAGCUACAGCAUACCCAUAUAAAUAAAAUAAAUAUAUCUUUACAAAAAAACCCACCAUUC